rnacentral:rRNA from 1 species
AUUGAACGCUGGCGGAAUGCUUUACACAUGCAAGUCGAGCGGCAGCGCGGGGCAACCUGGCGGCGAGCGGCGAACGGGUGAGUAAUACAUCGGAACGUACCCAGUUGUGGGGGAUAGCCCGGCGAAAGCCGGAUUAAUACCGCAUACGACCUGAGGGUGAAAGGGGGGGAGUCGCAAGACCUCUCGCAGUUGGAGCGGCCGAUGGCGGAUUAGCUAGUUGGUGAGGUAAAGGCUCACCAAGGCGACGAUCCGUAGCUGGUCUGAGAGGACGACCAGCACACUGGAACUGAGACACGGUCCGAGACUCCUACGGGAGGGCAGCAGUGGGGGAAGUUUUAGGUACAAUGGGGGCGAACCCUCGAUCCAGCCAUU